UACGAUGUGGGCCGUGAAUGUCCUUGCGCCUAUAAAAAGAGAUCUCACUUGAAAGAAUAAAAAGAGAAAACUGUGCGGACAGUUGAGUGACAUUGUCAGAGAAUCCUCAAAGAAGCUGCCUUGAUACGAUGAUCAUCCAAGGCUGUUCUUCGCAGCCCACAUCAGGCCCAAGAAGCUGCUUCUCCACCUUCUUUUUGUUGCCGAAUUCGAACAGAUAUAGUUUCAAGAAGAGGGCUACAACAUUGAAGCAUGAAUUGGAUGUUGUCAGCUGUCGUUUCAACUCACCGUCCACAAAUUUCAGGAUUCAGGCAUUAGAAGCCAACAAGUUGGAUGGUGUUAAAGCAGAAGGUUCGAGAACAAAUUUACAGUAUGAUCAUCUUACAUGGCCUUCUCCGAGUGACAAAGUUCCGUUCUGGAAGAGGGAGUUUCCAUCUUGGGACAUCAGCGACAGCGGCCAUGUUGACAUCCGGAAGGAUUCUGACCCUAUCCAUAUCAUUCAUGUCACAGCUGAAAUGGCACCCAUAGCUAAGGUGGGAGGUCUUGGGGAUGUUGUGACCGGGCUAGCCCGUGCUUGUUUGGUGCAUGGCCAUACUGUGGAUGUCUUUCUACCUUUCUAUGAAUGCAUCAACAAACAGCGUAUCAAAGAGCUCACACUGAUCAGUACGUAUGGCUCGUAUCAUGAUGGGAGCUGGAUCCCCACGAACGUCUAUCGUGGAGUAGUUUUUGGAAUUCCUGUUGUAUUUAUUGAACCGACUAACCAUUUCUUCAAGGGACAAAGCGUGUACGGAGGUUCAUAUGAUGAACUGGAAGCGUAUUUGUUCUUUAGUCGUGCCUGCCUCGAAUGGCUGCAGGUCUCUGCAACUCAGCCCGACAUUAUUCAUGUCCAUGAGUGGCAGACUGCUGGUUUGCCGUUGCUCUACUGGGAUAUGUAUCAGUAUCUGUCCCUUCAGAAACCACGAAUUGUGUUGACGAUCCAUAAUCUGGAGCACUAUGGAGAAUGCAGGCAAGAGCAAUUGAACAAGUGCGGUCUUGAUGGAUCCGCAUAUGCGACUGAAGAGAAGGCUAUGGAUGAUAGAACAAUUGGGCACAACCCCGAGAGAUUAAGUUUGCUAAAAGGAGGCAUUGUCUACAGCAAUGCGGUAGUUACAGUUUCUCCAACAUAUCUCAAGGAAACACUUUACUCGGGAUGGCUUGCUGCAACACUGAUACGACAUCGUGACAAGUACUUCGGUAUUUUGAACGGAAUAGAUACUGCAAUUUGGAACCCUGCCACAGAUGCAUUCUUGCCUGCUAAGUUUGAUGCUAACCAAAUCGAAGGGAAAAAGAUCUGCAAGCUUUAUGUGCAAAGAGGGCUUGGUUUGGUUCCCGAAGAACAGGACUCUGCUAAGGUGCCCCUGGUCGUCUGCAUCACUCGUUUAGUUGCUCAGAAAGGUCUCCAUUUGAUCACUAAUGCAAUCAGACAUGUAGAAGCCCUUAAUGGACAAAUGAUCAUUUUGGGGACUGCUCCAGAUGCUCGAGUUGGCAGUGAAUUUGAAGGUCUUGCUCAAUUGCACAAUGAAGGUUCUAGCAUUCGGAUUCUUCAGAUGUACAGCGAGGAGCUGUCCCACAUGCUCUAUGCAGCGGCCGACAUUGUGUUGGUUCCAUCCAUAUACGAGCCAUGCGGACUCUCUCAGAUGAUUGGGAUGCGCUAUGGAGCGGUUCCCCUGGUCAGAAAGACUGGUGGUCUUGCAGACACUGUUUUCGACAUGGAUGAUCAGUCACAUUCUGAGAUUGCGAACGGGUUUGUUUUCGAAGGGAUCGAUGAAGGAUCGUUGAACUGCACUCUAGAUCGUGCUUUUUCUUUCUACCGCGAGAGUCCUUACCGCAUUGACACGAGACAAUAAGGCCAAACGCAAACACUAUAAGAGAAUCCUGGACACGAAUACAAACACGAUACGACACAAGCAAACACGUACUUGAAACCCACAACAGCCCUACAGAGUCUAAAUUCCCUAAGUUUAAUGGUUUAGUUUUAUCGUGUCGGCCCGAUAGCAGGUUACACGUGUCCUUAUUGUGUCGAAAUGAGCCUAAUGAAUGGAGGGACACGGUGAAGAAGGUUUUGCAGAUGGAUAAUAGCUGGAACAAUGCAGCAGGAAAGUAUAUUGAUGUCUAUAACAAUGUCAGAGUUGAACAUCAUUGAAAAUAUGUCAACUCCCACUCAUCAAUAAACAACCUAUCUUUGUAUCA